AUGGACCUCGACCUCGCCCUGCAAGAGACCCGCCUGGCCGUCGCCGGCGAGGACUUCGCCUUCACCACCACCGAGACCGACGACGCCUUCCUCGUCCUCGCCCACCUCCCAGGGUAUGACAAGGAUGCGAUCGAGGUCCGCGUCGGCGACGGCGGCAGGGAGAUCCGCGUCGACGUGGGCGCGCGGAAGGACGGUGCCGGGCUCGCCGUGGAGGCAGAGCGUGCCGGGACGCGGCUGCGGGUGGCGCACCGGCGGGCGGUGGAGGGUUUCCGCCGAGUGUUCGACGUGCCGGCCGGCGCCGACGUGGGCCGGGUCUCCGUCGGGUUCGAGGAGGACGACGAGCUGCUCGUCAUCAUCAUGCCCAAGCUGCGGCAGCUGCAGGCCUCCCCGCCGGACGACGAGGCACGCGUCGACGUCGAGAGCACGGACUACGAGUGCGCGUCGUCGGACGGGACGGAGGUGGAGCUCGACGACGGGUGGUCGUCGGCUAGCCUCGAGCUGGAGCAGGAGGAGUGGGUCGACGUCGACGGCGAUUCGUCGGGGUCCGAGCCCGAGCCGCCUCGAGACUUGCCGGUGGAGACGCCCGUGGAGGUACAGGAGGACGUGCCCGUGGAGACGCUCGUGGAGAUUCAUGGGCCAGAUCCCAUAAUCACGGACGUGGCGGUGGAGACGCCGGUGGAGGUCGAGGAGGAGGAAGAGCCUCCGGUGCUCGACAUCGAGUGUGACGUCGUGUUCGACGUCCCGGUGUGCACUGAGCUGCCGGUGGAGACGCCGAUCGAAGUGCUCGGGUCCGACCUACCGGCUGACGACGUGGAAGAGCCGGCGGUCGACAUCCCGUGCGACGUAGAGUUCGAGCCGGAGCCCCGGCAGCCACCGGUCGAGACACCACCCGACGUCAUCGAGGAGCCCAAACCACCACCUGCCGUAGACCCACCCGCCGAAGAGCCAUCGGUUGAGGAGCCACCGCCCACCGAGGAGCCUCCGGAGCCGGUCGACCCACCAGUGGAACCGCCACCCACCGAAGAGCCACUGGUGGACCCACCACCGGUUGAGGAGCCACCACCCGUGGAACCGCCACCUAUGGAGGAGCCGCCAGUGGACCCACCACCAGCUGAGGAGCCACCACCCAUGGAACCACUACCUAUGGAGGAGCCGCCGAUGGACCCACCACCGGUUGAAGAGCCACCACCCGCUGAGGAUCCUCCGACGCCGGUGGACCCGCCCGUGGAACCGCCACCAAUGGAGGAGCCACCGGUGGACCCACCACUGGUUGAGGAGCCACCACCUGCUGAGGACCCUCCGGUGCCGGUCGACCCACCCAUGGAGGAGCCACCCGCCAAAGAGCCGCCGAUGGACCCACCACCAGUUGAGGAGCCACCACCCGCCGAGGAUCCUCCAGCAGCGGUCGACCCGCCCAUGAAACCGCCACCCAUGGAGGAGCCACUACCGGUUGAGGAGCCACGCCACGUGGAACCGCCGCCCGUGCAGGAGCCACAACCCGCGGCCCCAACACCAGUCCAGGAGCCACCUAGUGCACCAGCAGAGGCAAAAUCAUCUGAUGGCAGCGACGAAUCGGAUGGUAGCACUGAUGGUGAGGAGAACGGCGACCGGGGCGGCCGCAAGGGCAAGCGACGCAGUGGCGGGAAAGGACGACGGAGGCGCAGGCGGCGUGGCAGGUUCCCGUUCGGCAUGGUGGUUGCUCCUGCCGUGAUCUUGCUCGCUCUCGCAGUGCUCGCGGCCAAGAGACGGCGGCAACAGGGCGGGGGUUGA
rnacentral:rRNA from 1 species